UCCAGCUAGAACAACAAGUGCAAUGCCAACAGCUGAAGCUCAUACAGGAAAGCAAAACAGCAGUAGCUGCAGAAGUCCUGCACUCCUCCCCGCCCAGCAGCAUCGCUACACGGCCACAGCUCAGGUGCCUGCUUUGAAAGCUCCCCAUGAAACAGACACUGCAUCACUGCCUAACUGCUGUGAAAAGCCUAAUACAGAUUUUUCAUGAUUGUUUGAUAGUAGGCAGAACAGUAUGUAAAGAGGAAUCUUCAAGUCCUGCAGGCCCUGGCAGAGUAUGCCCUGAUUUAGCUGACUUGGUUAUCACAGCAAGUCAUAGCAGAGUGCGCCUACUGGCUCUCUUUGUAGCUGAAGUCAAGUUGGGAACCCAAAACUGAGUUUCUAAUGCAUUGCACUGCCAUCGCAUUGUCCAACGCAGUUGUACAGAUUAACUCGCAAAGAAUGGGAGGAAACAUGGCAAACGAGACUUACAAUAUACCCAGGAGCAAACAGCCCUGCCACAAACAGAGCAGUGUGUGCUCUACACACAAAAAUGUAUGUAUUUUCUUUCUGAAGAUGCAGGAUUUCACUUCACACGUUCUUCCUGUGGACCAACUCCCUUUCCAAUUGUUUAAAGGGCCAGAAGUCAGAUACCACAAGCUCAAGCAACCCCAUGGUUUUUCCAGACAAGGUCACUGUAAGGCCAAGGAUCUCCUGAUGUCACAACAGGCACAGCACUUCGUGGUGUAUUCUGUGAUGCUGAAGACUGUGUGGAGUCCUGACCGCAAUCAGUUUUGGCCUCCUGUGAUUUUUAUCUGCUUAGCUGAAGAACAGCAAGCAAAGGGGUGAAACAGAAGAACAGAGCUCUCUGGUCUGCCCUGGUAAUCCACCACAGCCCUGACCUGCAGAGAAAGGCCUUUCUCACCUUCCCAGUCUGGACAGACUUUGUGUAUUGCCAGAAGAGCUGUUUUAGACAGUGGCUUUUCACUGCUUCCUGACUGUGGUUUCAUAUUCUGAGGUGGCUCAUCCUCAUGCUGCACAGAAAAUCACAUGAAUCAUGCUUUGUAACAGAAGGAGUGCAGCUGGACUGUAACACCAUUGAUGGUCCCUUCCAACUGAGCUAUUCUAUUCUAAUUGCUCAGUCACUUUCACAUUCGGAGCCAGGCCAAGGUAGAGCCCUCAGAAGCAGCUUUCUGAACAACUGUCAGUACGGAAAAGUUCGCUUAUUUACACAUUUUUCAAUUCUGGAGUCUACAUUUACUUUUCAGCAAAAAAUGUGAAAGCCAGAGACCAAUCCAGGAGUGGGACGUGAUGGCCUUUGGGGCUCCUUCCACCGCACGACGCCCAGUGACGCCUGCCCAGGGGAGCAGAAGGCCACAAGCUGUGACAGCACCGUACCUUUGGAACACCGCACUCUCUGUGAAGCUGGGCGGCCCAUUCACCAUGAAGAGCCCUUCGGAGCCCCUCACUGAAAGAGGAAACAAACACACACCCACUGCAGAUUCACAAAACUGCCCCGAGCCAAACUUUAACCUAAUUUACAAACGCUGAAAUGUCUCCCUUUUUUCGCAUUUUAGAGUUAAUAAAACAACUAAGGCUUAUAAGGGACGUUCCGGCCUCCCGCAGGCUAACCGCCGGACUAAAGCAGGGCAGAUGUGACACGAAGCGCAGUGCCGGCCCGCAGCCCAUCCGCGCGCUACUUCCGCGCAGCGCAUCUGAGCUCCGCACGGGGGUUCCGCGGGCAGCGGCGACCGCUUCGGCGGGCAGAGCGCGGCGGAACGCUGCCGACGGCCCUCGGCCGCCGCCGGGAGAACGGCGUGACCCCGGGCCCGUGGCCGAACCCCCGGCCGGGUCCCGCCGGGAUCCGGACCGCUCCGCCGCAGCCGCCUCCGCAGUGGGACGGGAGGAGCGGGACGGAGCGGCGGCGUCGCCGGCGGGACUCGAGCUCGGCGGGAGGGAAGGCGGAGCCCGGCGCCGUCCUCGGAACCCCCACCCGCCCGGCGCGGC